AAUGCCAAAAAUACUUCCUUCCCGGCCGCUAUCCAAAUACUCAUUGUAGCCAUACCAGCUGUGCCAUGUUUUGGCCUGAAGAAAGAUGUUCCGGCUGCAAUAUGAAUGUUUUGGUAAAGAAGUUUAUAAGGGAAACAGGAGUGGAGCCAACAAUUAUAUGGCUAAGCCCUAUUUAUUUAGAAGGACAAGGCAGCUCUUAGCCUCGGAGCCCGAAAAAGGAGGAAAGCGCGGCUGAAAAUUAAACAUCGAAGUGUUCCAUGAAAUUGCCCUCCCUGAUCCUAGUGACCCACCAGUUUGUCAUCACUGUGACUAACUCCUUCUUCCCAUGCUUGGAGGCAAUUUCGCACGCUGGAUGCUGCGCUCCGGCCAGGCUGAGCAGUGACUAUUUACAUAGAGCUAUGAUGUGGGAGAGUGAGGAGAGUGCUUUUCUAUGGCCAAGAUGAUUUGGAACAUUCCUUCGAACAGACGGAACGGGUGCCUAGCCAGGAGUAACAACGAGGGGAGACGACCAGCUGGACUGCACAUUCCGUGGCAGCAGGUCAGAAAUGAGAAAGAAUGAAUGGAGUGUGGGUGGGGGUUUGGGGGUGUCUAUUUCAAUCACACAGAAGAGACCCCAAGGUGGCAGGAGGUUCCAAACUGGGCUGACUGGCUUGUAUGCUUUGAAUCUGUUAGGCUACGUCUAGACUGCAAGCCUCUUUUGAAAAAGAGCAUCUAGACUACAACCAGUAUUUUUGAA